GAGAGUAUAGCUGAAAUAGUAGAGCACAUGCUUAGCAUGCACAAGGUCCUGGGUUCAAUUCCCAGCACCUCCA
rfam:Camelus ferus unplaced genomic scaffold scaffold544, whole genome shotgun sequence.